rnacentral:rRNA from 1 species
UACGGAGGGUGCAAGCGUUGUUCGGAUUUAUUGGGCGUAAAGCGCGUGUAGGCGGUUUCUUAAGUCUGAUGUGAAAGCCCUGGGCUCAACCCAGGAAGUGCAUUGGAUACUGGGAGACUUGAAUACGGGAGAGGGUAGUGGAAUUCCUAGUGUAGGAGUGAAAUCCGUAGAUAUUGGGAAGAACACCGAUGGACGAAGGCAGCCAUCUGGACCGACGACUGACGCUGAGGCGCGAAAGCGUGGGGAGCAAACAGG